AAGCGGACGGAGCGCGAGGAGCGCGGGGAGCGCCUCCUUUCCUCACAGCAACAGCGGCAGCGGGCGGGCACGGAGGUGAGCGACAUGGCUCGUCACGGAAAUAAAUAACGGGACCGGGCGAAGGUGGUACUUCAGCCGCGGAGGCACCAAACGGAACCGAAACAAGAAGCGGGUUUUACGAGCGAGGAGGGCAGAAGUCGUCGCCACACGUCUGGCUGUCGAUGCUGGUGCUCGGACACGGUACCUGCCGAGAACCGUCCCGACGUCCUGUACCCAGACCCUCGGUGCCGUGUGACCCCCGGACUCGGAGAGGAUGGUGAUGGAGGAGGGGAGGCUGAGUGACAGAGGGAGGGGGGCCUCAGCGCUGGCAGGAGCAGAGGGGAGACAGCUCUUCUUGGAGCUUGGGGAGCAGAACUUUGAUGGCAUUUGUCUGUCCACGUAUCGAACCGCCUGUAAACUGAGAUUCAUCCAGAAGAGAUGCAACUUGCAUCUGAUCGACAUAUACAACGUGAUCGAGGCGGUGCGAGACGCCGGUCUGAACGCCGUCGACCUCCACGCCGGCAUCUCCGUGACCCGACUGGAAAACCUGGUGUCGUCGCUGUUCAACCAGCUCGGCAAGCGGCUGCCCACCACACACACCAUCGACCCGCGGGAGAGCACCGUGCUGCUGGUUGAGUUCAUGCUGGCCGCUAUAGAGAGUGAAGCGGACAGUCGGCUGACGGUGCUGUCUGUGAAGGCCAUGCUGGCCACGCUGUGCGGAGGGAAGCUGGUGGAUAAACUCCGCUAUGUGUUUUCUCAGGUGUCUGACUCCAAAGGUGCGCUGGUUCAGUCAAAGUUUGAUGCUUUCCUGAGGGAGGCCCUGAAGCUGCCCACCGCCGUGAAUGAAGGUCCGUCCUUUGGCUACACGCACACUGUGGCACGCUCGUGCUUCUCACAGCAGAAGAGGGUGAUGCUCAACAUGUUCCUGGACAUCAUAGCCGAGCCUCCUCAGUGCCUCGUCUGGCUGCCUCUCAUGCACCGCAUGGCCAACGUGGAGCACGUCUACCACCCUGUGUCGUGCUCCUACUGUCGUAGCGACGGCAUGACGGGCUUCCGCUACCGCUGCCUCCGUUGCCGCGGUUACCAGCUGUGUCAGAGCUGCUUCUGGCGCGGCAGCACCAGCGGCUCACACAGCAACCAGCACCGGAUGAAGGAGCACUCGUCCUGGAAGUCGCCUGCAUCUAAACUGGGCCGAGCCCUGAGCAGAACCCUGAGCUGCGUGUCGUCCAGAGAGCCCCCCCACCUCAUGUACCCAGAGGAACCUGAGAGGACCCUCAACCUCUCCAACAUAGUCCCCUGUCGACUGGUUGGAAACGCCGGUGAAACCAUGCUGUCCCCACCAGCGCCACAGUCUUCAAAGAGCUUGGCAGCGGCUCAGCAUAUGAACGAGGAACACGCCUUGAUCGCGGCAUAUGUGAAUCGCCUCCAGACCAGCCCACGUGCGGUGGACAGUCCCAGCAGACAAGACGAGGAGCACAAGCUGAUCGCUCGCUACACAUCACGCCUAGCAGAGACGGACGGUGCAGGAGUGAUUCCUCAGCGAAGCAUCAACUUCGAUGUGAACAAACAGAAGAGGGAGCUCAUUGCUCAGCUGGAGAGCAAGAACAGAGAGAUCUUGGCCGAGAUCCGCCGUCUGCGCGCAGAGCACGACGCGGCGUGCCAGCCCAGUCCGGAGAAGGGCAGCACCAACCCCACGCUGCUGGCCGAGCUCCGGCUGCUCAGGCAGAGGAAAGAUGAGCUGGAGCAGAGGAUGUCGUGUCUGCAGGAGAGCAGGAGGGAACUGAUGGUGCAGCUGGAGGGGCUGAUGAAGCUGCUCAAGGAUGAGGAACAGCGGCAGGCAGCGCAGGCGGCUGGCUCCUCUCACGCGUCUCCUUCUCGGCCGAGCCCAUCGCCCUCCCGCUCUGUUGGUGCUGCGUCCCCCCCGGCUCACGCGUAUCCUCCCCAGGACUCGCUCGCCGGAGUCGGCGGCGACGUGCAGGAGGCAUUUGCUCACGGUCCCAGAAGGAACCUGAGGAACGACCUGCUGGUAGCAGCCGACUCCAUCACUAACACUGUGUCCUCACUGGUCAAAGAGCUGCACUCUGAUGAUGGUCGGGAGGAAGAGGAGAGACUGCUGAACGGGAAGGACCGAGGUGGGUCCAUCUCUCAGGAGGAGUUUUAAUUCAAGGGUCAAUAACAUAGCAGGGUAAAGCCAUCGCAGGACAAACAGGACAGCAGCACGAUGUCUCCUCCUGGCCAGAGAAACCUGAAUCUUCCCUCUAUACAUCGUUAGCCAGUGGGGAUUAGAUCACCGCUGCCAAUCAACCAAUCAUGAUGCUGGACACCAAACGGCCCCCUGGGGUCACUACUGAUGUAUAGCUGUGACUCUGUGUCUUGUCAUUGUGCUUUCUGUUUGUUUUUGGUUUGAUCAUCCAUAGCGUAAUGAAUCUGAAACCUACUGAUUUGUACUGUAGCAUGUGCGUGUGCUCUGUUUUCAGGAGGGCUGAGUAAGUGAGAGGGACACUGAAGAGACAGAAGGAUGUUUAUUUGGAGUUUGUGAAGGAUGAAACUGCAGGAAAGGUUGAGGGCGAUGCUGUGUUUAACCACAGAACAAAAGGACGUUAGGAAGUUUGUCAUGUUUUACGUUUCGGCACUGUGUGCUUAGUAUUUAUUGCUUUGAUUUGAUUGUUUCCAUUUAUUCAUUGCGUUUGAGAGAUGUGUUUAGACGUGUGGUCAGGCCCUGCUGACACCAUGAGCUUUAAUGGGACAUGUAGCCCAGCUCCCACCCAGCGGAGUCCAGGUCCCAGUCCUGGUUCAGGUGACUAAAACCUGGAUGAGACAGCGCCACCAUGCGGGUCUCAUAACAGCUCAGGUGGUUCUGGACUCUGGAUUCCCGGUACUGAAGUGGGAUGAACAUAUUCAAUUACUAUGUGUGCGUGUGUGAGAGAGAGGAUGUGGAGUUUUCAAAUUAGGCUAAAGGGACACAGUUAUUUUAUAAUGAGCCAAAGUGCCAUUCAUCUGACUGCAUCUAUGCAACAAAGCAGUGAUUUUGUCGCCUGCCAGAAAAUAACUUCUCAGUUAUUUGCUGCCUUUAAAGCCUAAAGUUGAAUUCAUGUCGAUCCAACAAACCAAAAUGUGCAGAGUGAUGCUAUGUGUGAACCAAACCUGCACAGUGAUGUCACAAGCUGAGAUCAGGUACAUUUUACAGCUGUCAGAUAUUUUUACCAACAUUUAUAUUUAUACUGAAGCUGUUUCUGGGUUUUCACUUGGACGCUUCCUUUUCUUAGACCAGCUCUGUUUGAAUUCAUGUGAGUGAUUUGAUAAUUGAAUGAACUUUCAUUCAGUGUAUGUGUAAAAGAGCGAGCGAGAGAAAUCAAGACUGACGGGACGGACGCGUCCCAACGUGAAUCUGUAAAUGCGUCGGCUCUGAACCUGCCGGAGCCGAACGUGGGGCAGGAGAGUGUGAAUUAUCCGCAAUAAAUGAGAUUCAACAUCAAA